CGGGUGAGUAACACGUAGGUAAUCUACCUUCGGAUUGGGAAUAACAACCGGAAACGGUUGCUAAUACCGAAUAAUGCAGCGGCACCUAAUGGUGACAGUUGUUAAAGCGGGGGAUCGUAAGACCUCGCGUCUGAAGAGGAGCCUGCGGCGGAUUAGCUAGUUGGUAAGGUAAUGGCUUACCAAGGCGAUGAUCCGUAGCCGGCCUGAGAGGGCGGUCGGCCACACUGACACUGACAUACGGGUCAGACUCCUACGGGAGGCAGCAGUCGGGAAUUUUGGGCAAUGGGCGAAAGCCUGACCCAGCAACGCCGCGUGAAGGAUGAAAUCCCUCGGGAUGUAAACUUCGCAAGAACGGGAAGAAUAAGUGAGGGUUAAUAUCCCUUACGAUGACGGUACUGUUUGUAAGCUCCGGCUAACUCCGUGCCAGCAGCCGCGGUAAUACGGGGGGAGCAAGCGUUGUUCGGAUUUACUGGGCGUAAAGGGCGCGUAGGCGGCCACCGCAAGUCAGUUGUGAAAUCUCCGGGCUUAACCCGGAAAGGUCAACUGAUACUGCGGGGCUAGAGUGCAGAAGGGGCGACUGGAAUUCUCGGUGUAGCGGUGAAAUGCGUAGAUAUCGAGAGGAAC
rnacentral:rRNA from 1 species